rnacentral:rRNA from 1 species
GACGAACGCUGGCGGCGUGCCUAAUACAUGCAAGUUGAGCGCUGAAGGUUGGUACUUGUACCAACUGGAUGAGCAGCGAACGGGUGAGUAACGCGUGGGGAAUCUGCCUUUGAGCGGGGGACAACAUUUGGAAACGAAUGCUAAUACCGCAUAAAAACUUUAAACACAAGUUUUAAGUUUGAAAGAUGCAAUUGCAUCACUCAAAGAUGAUCCCGCGUUGUAUUAGCUAGUUGGUGAGGUAAAGGCUCACCAAGGCGAUGAUACAUAGCCGACCUGAGAGGGCGAUCGGCCACAUUGGGACUGAGACACGGCCCAAACUGCUACGGGAGGCAGCAGUAGGGAAUCGUCGGCAAUGGACGAAAGUCUGACCGAGCAACGCCGCGUGAGUGAAGAAGGUUUUCGGAUCGUAAAACUCUGUUGGUAGAGAAGAACGUUGGUGAGAGUGGAAAGCUCAUCAAGUGACGGUAACUACCCAGAAAGGGACGGCUAACUACGUG